UGAUGUCAUGGGGGUCUGGAAGAC
rnacentral:piRNA from 1 species